rnacentral:rRNA from 1 species
UUAAAUUGAAGAGUUUGAUCAUGGCUCAGAUUGAACGCUGGCGGCAGGCCUAACACAUGCAAGUCGAACGGUAACAGGAAGCAGCUUGCUGCUUCGCUGACGAGUGGCGGACGGGUGAGUAAUGUCUGGGAAACUGCCUGAUGGAGGGGGAUAACUACUGGAAACGGUGGCUAAUACCGCAUAACGUCGCAAGACCAAAGAGGGGGACCUUCGGGCCUCUUGCCAUCAGAUGUGCCCAGAUGGGAUUAGCUUGUUGGUGAGGUAACGGCUCACCAAGGCGACGAUCCCUAGCUGGUCUGAGAGGAUGACCAGCCACACUGGAACUGAGACACGGUCCAGACUCCUACGGGAGGCAGCAGUGGGGAAUAUUGCACAAUGGGCGCAAGCCUGAUGCAGCCAUGCCGCGUGUAUGAAGAAGGCCUUCGGGUUGUAAAGUACUUUCAGCGGGGAGGAAGGUGUUGUGGUUAAUAACCGCAGCAAUUGACGUUACCCGCAGAAGAAGCACCGGCUAACUCCGUGCCAGCAGCCGCGGUAAUACGGAGGGUGCAAGCGUUAAUCGGAAUUACUGGGCGUAAAGCGCACGCAGGCGGUCUGUCAAGUCGGAUGUGAAAUCCCCGGGCUCAACCUGGGAACUGCAUUCGAAACUGGCAGGCUUGAGUCUUGUAGAGGGGGGUAGAAUUCCAGGUGUAGCGGUGAAAUGCGUAGAGAUCUGGAGGAAUACCGGUGGCGAAGGCGGCCCCCUGGACAAAGACUGACGCUCAGGUGCGAAAGCGUGGGGAGCAAACAGGAUUAGAUACCCUGGUAGUCCACGCCGUAAACGAUGUCUACUUGGAGGUUGUGCCCUUGAGGCGUGGCUUCCGGAGCUAACGCGUUAAGUAGACCGCCUGGGGAGUACGGCCGCAAGGUUAAAACUCAAAUGAAUUGACGGGGGCCCGCACAAGCGGUGGAGCAUGUGGUUUAAUUCGAUGCAACGCGAAGAACCUUACCUGGUCUUGACAUCCACAGAACUUUCCAGAGAUGGAUUGGUGCCUUCGGGAACUGUGAGACAGGUGCUGCAUGGCUGUCGUCAGCUCGUGUUGUGAAAUGUUGGGUUAAGUCCCGCAACGAGCGCAACCCUUAUCCUUUGUUGCCAGCGAUUAGGUCGGGAACUCAAAGGAGACUGCCAGUGAUAAACUGGAGGAAGGUGGGGAUGACGUCAAGUCAUCAUGGCCCUUACGACCAGGGCUACACACGUGCUACAAUGGCGCAUACAAAGAGAAGCGACCUCGCGAGAGCAAGCGGACCUCAUAAAGUGCGUCGUAGUCCGGAUUGGAGUCUGCAACUCGACUCCAUGAAGUCGGAAUCGCUAGUAAUCGUGGAUCAGAAUGCCACGGUGAAUACGUUCCCGGGCCUUGUACACACCGCCCGUCACACCAUGGGAGUGGGUUGCAAAAGAAGUAGGUAGCUUAACCUUCGGGAGGGCGCUUACCACUUUGUGAUUCAUGACUGGGGUGAAGUCGUAACAAGGUAACCGUAGGGGAACCUGCGGUUGGAUCACCUCCUUACCUUAAAG